CUUACCUGACUCGUGAUAGCAGCAGAAUAAUAAAUCAAGGCUCACACAGGAGGCAUCCCACAUCUUGUGCUUUAUUCUUCUGUCAAGAUAUAUUACAGAAAAUAACUUAAUCUGAGCAUCAGAGAACGUCCCGAGCACAUGCGCUUGUUACAGAAAGUUCACACAUUCACACACACAUAGACGCACACACAUACGCUGUUAAAGGAGACGCACCCCAUUUUCACUCGUUAGUUACAGACACAUGUCAGAUUUUAUUUUAGAGAGCAGGAGGUUAACUGCAUGUUUACACAGCAGAAAAGUGCGUGCUUUUAAGGGCGUGGCAUGGAGCCGAUCCGCCAAUAGCUGCACAUUAUGACGAUGACCAAUCGAUGUCACUUAAGGGCGGGCCUUUCAGAGGAACUAGGAAAUAUGACAGUCGUUUUCAGUGUUGCCAGACUAGCUGUGUAUAAUCAAAGUGAGAUAUAUGAAAAAACUACGCGACUUCCUUCAAGUGAAACAUGAGCACACAUUGCUUUGCAUCUUAUAAACACAACCAAGCCUUGAGUUUACAUUCUGGACCA
rnacentral:sRNA from 8 species